CGUUAUGGUUCUAUUUUGUUGGUUUCUAGGACCAUCGUAAUGAUUAAUAGGAACGGUUGGGGACAUCAGUAUUCAGUUGUCAGAGGUGAAAUUCUUGGAUUUACUGAAGACUAACUACUGCGAAAGCAUUUGUCAAAGACGUUUUCAUUAAUCAAGAACGAAAGUUAGGGGAUCGAAGAUGAUCAGAUACCGUCGUAGUCUUAACCAUAAACUAUGCCGACUAGGGAUCGGGCGUUGUUCUUUUUCUGACACGCUCGGCACCUUACGAGAAAUCAAAGUUUUUGGGUUCUGGGGGGAGUAUGGUCGCAAGGCUGAAACUUAAAGGAAUUGACGGAAGGGCACCACCAGGAGUGGAGCCUGCGGCUUAAUUUGACUCAACACGGGGAAACUCACCAGGUCCAGACACAAUAAGGAUUGACAGAUUGAGAGCUCUUUCUUGAUUUUGUGGGUGGUGGUGCAUGGCCGUUCUUAGUUGGUGGAGUGAUUUGUCUGCUUAAUUGCGAUAACGAACGAGACCUUAACCUACUAAAUAGUGCAGCUAGCUUUUGCUGGCGCGUCACUUCUUAGAGGGACUAUCGACUUCAAGUCGAUGGAAGUUUGAGGCAAUAACAGGUCUGUGAUGCCCUUAGACGUUCUGGGCCGCACGCGCGCUACACUGACGGAGCCAGCGAGUAUACACCUUGGCCGAGAGGUCCGGGAAAUCUUGUGAAACUCCGUCGUGC
rnacentral:rRNA from 1 species